rnacentral:rRNA from 1 species
UACGGGGGGGGUAAGCGUUGUUCGGAAUUACUGGGCGUAAAGGGCUCGUAGGCGGCCAACUAAGUCAGACGUGAAAUCCCUCAGCUUAACUGGGGAACUGCGUCUGAUACUGGAUGGCUUGGAUUCGGGAGAGGAAUGCGGAAUUCCAGGUGUAGCGGUGAAAUGCGUAGAUAUCUGGAGGAACACCGGCGGCGAAAGCGCGAGACUGGGCCAUAACUGACGCUGAGGAACGAAAGCUAGGGGAGCGAAAGGG